rnacentral:lncRNA from 1 species
GUUUCUUGUGGGAGAUCAUUUUGCCCCCUAAGGGAUGGUGGGGAUAGAGUAAAAUGAUCAAAAUACGUUUAGGAAAAUGAGUUGUAUACUCAACAUGAAGGCAUCCUCCAAUUAAGAUUGCUGAAAGCAGGAAACGAUUGAGAAAUGCAUGGCUUAAAAUGGCAGAUGCUUGAAGAGGAAACUGUCUUUCCCACAGGGGCCUAACAGCCUAAGGGAGAGGAAGAGGACUUUUUGGGGAGAAGGAAGGCGAGG